CCUACGGGAGGCAGCAGUGAGGAAUAUUGGUCAAUGGCCGUAAGGCUGAACCAGCCAAGUCGCGUGAAGGAUGAAGGAUCUAUGGUUUGUAAACCUCUUUUAUAGGGGAAUAAAGGUAUCCAUGUGUGGAUAUUGGCAUGUACCAUAUGAUUCAGCCUCGGCUAAUUCUGUGCGAGCAGCCGCGGUAAUACGGAGGCAGCGAGCGUUAUCCGGAUUUCUUGGGUUUAAAGGGUGCGUAGGUUGUUUAUUAAGUCAGGUGUGAAAGUUUGUGGCUAAACCAUAAAAUUGCAGUUGAAACUGGAAGACUAGAGUGUGGUUGAGGUAGGUGGAAUGCGUGGUGUAGCGGUGAAAUGCAUAGAUAUCACGAAGAACUCUGAUUGCGAAGGCAGCUUACUAGACCAUAACUGACACUGAAGCGCGAAAGCGUGGGGAUCAAACAGGAUUAGAUACCCGGGUAGUC
rnacentral:rRNA from 1 species